GGCCUCCUGAUGCUUAUCACAGGCUGGGUUCUUACACUGACUGUAUAGAAAGAGGAGGUAGAGUAAACCUACUCCAUAUACACCUCAGCUCAGGCCCUGUGUUUGAUCUGUAUUGUGAAUGGGGGAACAUAG
ensembl:snoRNA